rnacentral:rRNA from 1 species
UGGGGAAUAUUGGGCAAUGGGCGAAAGCCUGACCCAGCAAUGCCGUGUGGGCGAUGAAGUCCUUCGGGAUGUAAAGCCCUUUUAUGAGGGAAGAAAGAUAUGCAGGCUAAUACCUUGCAUGUUUGACGGUACUUCAUGAAUAAGCCCCGGCUAACUCCGUGCCAGCAGCCGCGGUAAUACGGAGGGGGCAAGCGUUGUUCGGAAUCACUGGGCGUAAAGGGCGCGUAGGCGGUUAUGCUAGUCAGGUGUGAAAUCCCCAGGCUUAACUUGGGAACUGCGCUUGAAACUGCAUAGCUUGAGGCCGGGAGAGGAAAGUGGAAUUCCUGGUGUAGCGGUGAAAUGCGUAGAUAUCAGGAGGAACACCGGUGGCGAAGGCGGCUUUCUGGACCGGUUCUGACGCUGAAGCGCGAAAGCGUGGGGAGCAAACGG